GACGAACUGCCCAAACGUUGUUCGGAAUCACUGGGCUUAAAGGGCGCGUAGGCGGCGGAUCAAGUCGGGGGUGAAAUCCGGCAGCUUAACUGUCGAAGUGCCUUCGAUACUGAUUCGCUCGAGGGAGGUAGGGGUGCGUGGAACUUCCGGUGGAGCGGUGAAAUGCGUUGAGAUCGGAAGGAACGCCCGUGGCGAAAGCGAGGUCCUGGACGUUUACUGACGCUGAGACGCGAAAGCCAGGGGAGCGAACGGG
rnacentral:rRNA from 1 species